rnacentral:rRNA from 1 species
AAUUUUCCGCAAUGGACGAAAGUCUGACGGAGCGACGCCGCGUGGGGGAAGAAGGCCUUCGGGUUGUAAACCUCUGUCCUCAGGGACGAAGAGGGUGCCGAAAGUCACCGAAGACGGUACCUGAGGAGGAAGCCCCGGCUAACUACGUGCCAGCAGCCGCGGUAAUACGUAGGGGGCGAGCGUUGUCCGGAAUUACUGGGCGUAAAGGGCGUGUAGGCGGCGUUUUAAGUUAGGCGUGAAAGACCCCGGCUUAACCGGGGGGUUGCGUCUAAAACUGGAGUGCUUGAGUGCAGGAGAGGAAAGCGGAAUUCCCGGUGUAGCGGUGAUAUGCGUAGAUAUCGGGAGGAACACCAGUGGCGAAGGCGGCUUUCUGGCCUGCAACUGACGCUGAGGCGCGAAAGCUGGGGGAGCAAAC